GUCGGCGCAGCCUAACGGUAAAGUUUGGAGCUUUCAUGCUGGAGGUUGCGGGUUCAAAUCCCGCCGAUGACU